rnacentral:rRNA from 1 species
UACGUAGGGUGCAAGCGUUAAUCGGAAUUACUGGGCGUAAAGCGUGCGCAGGCGGUUAUGUAAGACAGUUGUGAAAUCCCCGGGCUCAACCUGGGAACUGCAUUUGUGACUGCAUCGCUGGAGUGCGGCAGAGGGGGAUGGAAUUCCGCGUGUAGCAGUGAAAUGCGUAGAUAUGCGGAGGAACACCGAUGGCGAAGGCAAUCCCCUGGGCCUGCACUGACGCUCAUGCACGAAAGCGUGGGGAGCAAACAGGAUUAGAAACCCCCUGGUAG